rnacentral:rRNA from 1 species
UACGUAGGCAGCAAGCGUUGUUCGGAGUUACUGGGCGUAAAGGGUGUGUAGGCGGCCUUCUAAGUUUGGUGUGAAAUCUCCCGGCUCAACUGGGAGGGUGCGCCGAAUACUGAAGGGCUAGAGUGCGGGAGAGGAGAGUGGAAUUCCUGGUGUAGCGGUGAAAUGCGUAGAUAUCAGGAGGAACACCGGUGGUGUAGACGGCUCUCUGGACCGUAACUGACGCUGAGACACGAAAGCGUGGGUAGCAAACAGG